UCAACUUUGCGACUAUUUGAGUGAAAAUUCAUAGUGUAGAGUGUUGAGUUUUUACUCCAUUAUCUAUACAAUCCAUAUCUGUGCUGGUUUUGGGCUCAAAAACAAACAAUUUAGUGUUUGAGUUUCAUUACCUUUCAAUAAACUUGCCAGUGUUUCUUAGUGCAUAAUUUCUUUCCACUUAAACCAAUAUUUGCACUUUCUGUUGCUGUCUGUUAGACAAUUAUGGCAUCACUAAGUCAACAAAAUGCAAUCUGUGAAGUUUAUGAUAAGGAAUUUUCCAGCACAUCUACCAGAAACAGGCAUUGGAAAAAGUUUCACCCUGGAUUUGUUGGGAAGGAACAAAUAAAACACAUUAUAUGUCCAAUGUGUACUAAUGAUAUCCAGACAUUUUCAUAUUUUAACUGUUUAAACAAACAUUUGCUUGAUAUUCACCAUAUAACUGUCAAAGAAUCAAUUUUAAAUUUUAGGAAUUUUGAAGAAUUGACAUCUUGGAGGGCACAAGAUAAUAGAGAAGUAGAUUAUGCUUGUCAGACCCGAAACAAGUUUAAGAAUUGGGAAGAACACAUAUUUUACAAUUGCAACAGGAGCGAUAUCAGAGGAUUUAAUAGCGCGUGCAAAGUGAGAAGUCUGGGGGAAGCAUUUGCAUUCAAGGAACAUGUCAACAAAACCAAACUCAAAUAGCUAUCAGCAUAAAAUUGUAAUAGAAGCCCAUAACAAAGCCGAAAAAAUGAAUGGUAAGGUAGAAUUUUUAGAAUUUGAAAAAUUUAAAGUCAAAGUGUUUCGGUAAGUGGUAAGUUCUAUGUUGUGUCUUGUCAUGAACUAUAUGAUGAGCAAUGUCGCACUGGAUACUGUAACAUCUGUAAAAUAUGUUUUCAUAAAUACAGAUGUGAGUGUCCAGAAAAUUCUGUUAAAACAGUACUUUGUAAACAUAUACAUGCUGUAGGCUGUAGCCAUUUUUGAGCAGAGGAGCGAGUUUGUUGUAGGUUCCCCAACUGUGAGUGAAGAGGAUAAAGUUUUGUUUGUUGAUCAACCCACAACUAGCCAAAUCAAUUAUCAGGAGGAUGUAAACCAUUUUAUUCAGGAGAGUUCAAAAAUGAAAGUCAAUAGUUCUGCAAUGGACUUUGAAGAAAAUCGAGAAGUAGUUUGAGUAAAAUAUAAGUUACAUUUUUAUUACAUCGUUUAUACUUAUUUUAAGAUUGCAUUGCAAGAAAUUUGUAGCUAUGGUAGAAGUUUAGAUAAAAAUGCAUUUGCCAGAUUUAUGGCUGUAAUCAACAAAUUUAAAAAUAAAAAAGUGGACGAAGAAAAUUCUCAGGGCAUUGAAAAGAAAAGAAAAAUUGAAAAACAAAUGUACUAUCAAAAUAAAAAAUAAGCUAGAUUUCUUUGUGUAUUUAAUGGCUAGAUAAUAUUUGAAUUGUAGCUAUUUUUUUAUGUUUGUAUAGCUGUGAAGUUAACAAAAAUAGGAUGUGGUUUGGAAGGUUUUCGUGCAGGUUUCAAAUUGUAAAAACAAAUUUCAAGACGUCAUAAUGGUUUAAAUAACGGUGUUGGUUUCUGUAUAACUAUUUUUAUAUCUUUUAUUUUAAGACUAAAAUGUUAGCUUAUUUUGUAUGUUAAUAUUCAACUAAUCAUUUUCUACAUUUUGUUUGCUAUGUUUUUAAUAUUUUUUAGGGUGCAGAAAAGUUAAUUGGAUUAACUUGAAAUUGACACGGAACGAGGGGGAAGAUCCUCUGUGAGUAUAUAUUUAUUAAUUAAAAUGUAUACAGAGCAGUAAUUUAUUUUCAUGUUACUAUUGAAUGGAAGUUUGAAUGGUUUGGGCUGUAUAUACAUGAGCAUCAGAGAUGACAAAUAAGCUAAAGAAGUGCGAGUCUACAUACUAUAUACCAGAUUAAUACAUUUAGCCUCUUUGCAUUUAAUUUUGAGGUUGUUGAUAUUAAAAAUACCAUAAAUUAUUAUAUUUAAAUAACAAAUAAAUUUAUAGAUUUUUUAUUAUUUGAAAUAAACAAAGUUAAAAUAUAA